CACGUAGGGCGCAAGCGUUGUCCGGAAUUAUUGGGCGUAAAGAGCUCGUAGGCGGUCUGUUGCGUCCGCUGUGAAAACUCGGGGCUUAACCCCGAGCCUGCAGUGGAUACGGGCAGACUAGAGGUAGGUAGGGGAGAAUGGAAUUCCCGGUGUAGCGGUGAAAUGCGCAGAUAUCGGGAGGAACACCGGUGGCGAAGGCGGUUCUCUGGGCCUUACCUGACGCUGAGGAGCG
rnacentral:rRNA from 1 species